CCUGGGCGCGAAUUCAGGGACAGGGUGGCCCUCCAGAACCGGAGUGACAAACUGUAACCAUACUUAGGGAGGCAGACGUCAAAGGCAAGUACAUCUGUAUUCAACUGGGGAAAGCCAUGUGAAGACGUGCCUGCCUCCCUGUCACCUUCCGCCAUGAUUGUAAGCUUCCUGAGGCCUCCCCAGCCAUGCCUGCUGUAUAGCCUGCAGAACAACGAAGUCCCGCUCUGUCACCCAGGCUGGAGUGCAAUGGCAAGAUCAAUCACAGCUCCGUGCAACCUCCACCUCCCGGGUUCAAGCGAUUCUCCUGCCUCAGCCUCCCGAGUAGCUGGGAUUAUAGGUGGAGAGGACACACGACACACCCCAGAAGGAGGAUGUCUUCACAUUUCGAGUCACCGUGCCCAGUUCUGGCCCCAGAACCCACCACGCACUGGGAGGAUCAGAGCAGACGUCAGAGACGUCUCAUGCUUCUAGACCCUGCCAUUCCCAUCUCCUUCUUUGCUGCAAUAGAGCAGACUUCUGGAAUUGGCAGUAAACUGGCAUUUGCUCUCCUAGUGUAAAAGAAAAUCUGCUUCAGAGAACAAGUAGCAAAUUCCCCAAAACAAACACUUAUAAUUAAGUAGUGUGUGUGUGUCUUGGUUAUAGGCCACUAGCAAUGAAAGGGCAUAUCCUGGUGUGAAUUUGCAUUUGAAUUCUUACCAAGGAGGCAGGCCCAGCAAACCAAUUAACUAAUUAAAUCAGUUAACCAAAUAUGUAAUUAACCUUGAGAACAGAAGUGUCAACAACAGAAGCACAACAAAGAAAGUAGCCUCCUCCUGGAACUGUCUAGUGGUUUUAAGCCUUUUAGUUUUCUGUCUUAAAGGCAUAGCUACAGAGGGAAAACAUUGUCUGGGCAUAAGACCAGUGGCCACACAAUGUCAUCCUAUGGACUGGAUGGAAUCGAGCCAAAGGCAGUGUUUCCCACUUGUUGCAGCCCAUUGUCUGUAAGUAAAUACACAGGAGUUUUGGAGGACACGGUCCAUGAAACACUGACCCAUUCAUAGUCAUUCCUUUUGGGAACACACGUGUCCACUAUUAAGAAAAGGGGACUAGCUAGAAAUUUCCAAGACGGAUCCUCCCUUGGAGAUGACAAUACCUGGUAAUUCAGACAAUUGAUUCUAAGACAAAAGGGAUCAAGAAAGGAAUGGCAAUCUCUGCUGAAUAGUUAUGGGAGGCUCUUGUUUGGACUGAGCUCCGACCCUGGGCCCCCAGCAAUUAGCCUGAGUGACCAGUAUGGAGUCAGUAAGGCUAACUGUCAUGAGAUCUGAAUGAACUCUGAAACAGGCCAGUUUUCCCAAAACAGAAGCUAUAAAACAACCAGUCAAAAGGAGCCUAGUUUACCAGAGCCUGAGUGACAAGGAAGUUCCCCUUUGUUUUAACCAUCUGUAGGGAAAGUAAAUUUGAAAUGAUCAAUCCACUUUUUGUCCCCUAUUUCUGCUCUCAUCAGCCUUUUUCUGCCUAUAAAGCAAACCUCCUGUGCUCCGCCCAUCAGAUCACUCUACCGUAUAGAAGGAGGUGCUGCCCCAUUCUAGCAUCACACAUAAAAGGCAGUUCAAUCUUUAAAGUGGUUGUAAUUUUGUCUUUUGACAGUUUUAUUUUAUAGAGGUUUGACCUGUACACAGAAAUCCCUGGGAAAGAGGAACCUGUGUGGCUGUAGGAAUUCUAUAAUGAUCUGUACAAUUCUGACACAUGGAAAUUUAUCAUUACCAAGACAAUACAUUAAUGCCUUGAUGUAAUGACUUUUCAGUAGCUCACCUUAUAAAAUUUUAGUUUUCAAGUAGCUUCAGAAAUAUUACUUAGAAUUAAUGAUGUGAAAAACACUAGGCCUGGUGCCUUCGUGUAGCUUUCAUUUAGGGGUGGUGUGAAAUUCACUCAGAUAAAAAAAGUAACCAACAAAGAGUUAUAUGCUAAACAGCAAAAAGAAAAUAAUACAGACUAGAGGCAAAUAUUUAUUGACUGAGUAAGGAAGAUAACUUAGACCAUUACUUACAUCAUUUCAGAAAAACCUACAUCACAAAGGAGAGGUAACACGAUCAAAUCAACAGGGAAGCAAAAGCAACUGCACCAGGAACCUGGAGUCUUAUCAGGAGAAUAAAUAUGUAUGUGAAAUCUCACACUGGAUUUUCCUGUUCCUUUCCUAUAAAAGACGUGGUUUCCGAUGUUGACCUGGGGCAAAAUCAAAGCUCACCGGGGCUAAGUCAGCACACAGUUCCUAAUCCUUAAGUAAAAAGAUACACUUGUGAACAGUAACGCUCAGUCAAGCUCACAGCCUCUCCACAUCAUCAGGGAGUUAACGUGCAAUUUAUAACCAGGCUAGGAUGCUUGAAGAAUCCCAUUCCAUUCACUAAGAACCCAGGCAUCUCAUUCCCACCGUAAGUGCAGGGCAAGCCCUCGGUAUUGUUUCAGUUAACCUCCCUGGGCCUCAGUUUCCUCGUCUGAAAAACGAAGGGACUUUGGAAUGGGAAAUCUCUACGAUCCCUCUCAUGAUUCAGAUAGACUAUUUUUCUUUUCCACCAAUAGAGGAAGAGACUUUCUGACAGCCAACAUUUCCAUUCCUACUAUUUUGGAACAACCAGAACACUGAAAAUUUGGUACGAAAAGCUUUUCUUACGAUAAAGAGAUAACAUUUCCUUAAGCACAGUUGCUGAAACUUUAGCCAGGGAACUUAUCAAAUAAAGAAACCACCUCAUUUCAGACUAUGGGCUGAAUCCAAUAAAGUCAAACCCAACGCCUCCCAGGAAUUUAGAAUUACACAAUUGUUGAUCAAGUGGAGAGAAAAGAAUGUGAAUUUUGUUUUUUCAAGAUUCUCUAACACCAUAUGAACUGUGGCUGCCUUUUCUUUAAAUCAUAUAAUGGAAAAAAACAAAAUUCUAGAAAAAGAUAUGUAUCAUGUCCUCCAAGUGGUGACUGGUCCCUGCUCAACGUGUUGUGGUUUACCUUGCCUUGAACCCAAAACAAUCCCCUUGUCCUUACAGAGCCUUGGGGAUGUCUGGUGGCAGCAGGCUGAAUUCCUAUUCUAAGUUGCUUCAUACAAAUUGUAUUCCGUCUACAUCUGUGCAAGUUAAGUGUGUUAGUACUGACGUGGCAUGGAUUUGUUAAUCAUUGUAAUGUUUGAUAGACUGAUGAUAUAUGAUGUUAAUGUUAAAUAUUAAAUGUAAUGGGUUUUGUUUGUUUUUUGAGACAGAGUUUCGCUCUUGUUGCCCAGGCUGGAAUGCAGUGGCGCGAUUUCAGCUCACUGCAACCUCUGCCUCCCAGGUCCAAGCAAUUCUCCUGCCUCAGCCUCCCGAGUAGCUAGGAUUACAGGCGCCUGCCACUAGGCUCAGCUAAUUUUUUUGUAUUUUUAGUAGAAACAGGGUUUCACCAUGUUGGCCAGGCUGGUUUUGAACUCCUGGCCUCAAGCAAUCCACCUGUCUUGGCCUCCCAAAAUUCUAGGAUUACAGGCGUGAGCCACCAUGCCUGGCCUAAAUGCAAUGUUUAAACUAAGUGUACAAUGUUAAUGUUAAAGUGUUUUCUCAAUUGCUUUUUUUUUUUUUUUUUUUUUGAGAUAGGGUAUUUCUCUGUCCCCCAGGCUGGAAUGCAGUAGCAGUAAUCACAGCUCACUGCAGUCUUGAAAUCCUGGGCUAAAGCGAUCCUCCCACCUCAGCCUCCAACAUUGCUGGAAUUACAUGUGUGAGCCACCACACUCUGCCAGAUAAUACUUUUUCAAUGGAAAGAAUAUAGAAACAAAAACUAGAAACAAAAUAUUCCGAGCCUUUUGCAAGAGAGGAGUCACUAAGAUGGGACUGUGUCUGGAGUUGGUUCCUUCCAUGGGUCCAUGGUCUCGCUGAUUUCAAGAAUGGAGCCGCGGACCUUCGUGGUCUGCUUAGAAUAAGGUUUGCAGCCGAGCGCGACCACUCACACCUGUAAUCCCAGCAUUUUGGAAGGCCGAGGCAGACGGAUCACAAGGUCAGGAGAUCGAGACCAUCCUGGCUAACACAGUGAAACCCCGUCUCUACUGAAAAUACAAAAAAUUAACUGGGUGUGGUGGCGGGCGCCUAUAGUCCCAGUUACUCGGGAGGCUGAGGCAGGAGAAUGGCGUGAACCCGGGAGGCGGAGCUUGCAGUGAGCCGAGAUCGCACCACUGCACUCCAGCCUGGGUAACAGAGCAAGACUCUGUCAAAAAAAAAAAAAAAAAAAAAAAAAAAAAAAAUUAAAUUAAAUAAGGUUUGCAUAUUGGUUAUAAGCAUUUUCUCACAUCAGUCUAAUACCUUGUGGCUAUUGAUUUCCUGCACUGGGAGUCAGCAGACUUCACGGUGAUGCAAAAUGUCUGCCAAUGUAUAUCAAAGGGAAACCAAGUAAGAACAGACUUUGCCACCAUUUGGGCAACUCCUCAUGUAGAUGCUUGGCAAGUAACCAUCAGAGACAGUGUGCUAUUGUUCAAAUGCACAGACUGGAUUCUGAUGAGCUGGAUUCUGAUGCAUCCCAGUUGUGCUACUUACUAACUGGAAUUAUGCAAGUCUCUAAGCUUGUGAUCCCACUUCUAAACAUUGUGGGCAAUAAUAACAUCACCUCCCACAUUGGGCUGUUGUGAAGGCUUAAAUUAGUAAGAUAAUGAAUAUGAUAAGUUUAACAUAGUACCUAACACAUUGUAAAUUACUGAAUAAGUAUCACCUAUUAUUACCAGCAUAAAAACUUACCAGUUAAAAAAAGGGGGAGAGAAGAUGGAUUUGAGUAAUAAUAAAAUGCUCAGAAAUAGCUCCAGUGGGACAUUGCCUUAUCCAAGCCAGCAUCAGCACCUUCCCUAAGUCCUUUCCCCCUUUCCAGCUGAAAAGAAGACUUCAGAGUCAGAAGUUUCCACUAGCUCUGAACAAGGGUUGGCAGCAGUCUCAGGGCCUCGAUCCAUCCAGCCCUCAUUGGCUCCCACCCACAUUGUGCCAAGCAGAGUAUCCACAGGAUAUGGAGUCAUCUUCCGUGGUCCCAGCUGGAUUUGAUUGCGCUGUGAUGACUUGGCUGUUGCAGAGGCUAGAUUGAAAGCAUGUCUCAACUUCACCUCUUGAAUGCAAUGCUGUUUAUAUUUGCCUAAUAUUUUUCUCCCCCUUGGGUUAUUUGAAGAUCAUGCCAAACUUUUGUUUCUUUUAUCUGGACAGAGUAUUCUACAAAGAUAUUUUAAAGCAGUUAUUCUCAUCGACAUUUUGCAAAUCUGGAAGAGAGUUUUUAUAGCUACACAGCCGUUCUCUCACCAUGGACUGGCUCCACAUAGAGCAAAAGUGAUCCUUCCAAAAUCUAACCCAGAUCACGCCCCUACUGUGCUCCAGACCACUCACUGCCUUCAUCUUAGGAUGGAAAACAACGUCCUCAGAUGGUUUACAAGGACUCCACAAUGUCCCCUUGCUCCCAUGUCAUCUUCCUCCACUCUCCUGCUGGCUUCCUUGCUAGCCCUUGAAUAGCCCCAAAUAUGUUCCUGCCUUGAGGCCUUUGCACUUGCUGUUCCCUGUGCCUGGAAUGCUCUUUGCCCCACAUAUCUGCACAGCUCACUUCCUUCUGUUGUCAUUUCAAAUGUCACCUUCUCAGGCAAGCUUCUCCUGUCAUCCUACCACCUUACAUUAUAUUUUUGUUUAUUGAUUUAUUAGAUGGCUCCUGCAUUAAAAUGUAAAGUAGGUAAUAACAUGGCCUUGGCUAGCUGGGCUGGCCUUGGCUGGCAGGGCUCACGCCUGUAAUCCCAGCACUUUAGGAGGCCGAGGUGGGCAGAUCACCUGAGGUCAGGAGUUCAAUACCAGCCUGGCCAACAUAGUGAAACCCCAUCUCUACUAAAAAUACAAAAAUUAGGCAGGGGUUCUGGGGGGCACCUGUAAUCCCAACUACUCGGAGGCUGAGGCACGAGAAUUGCUUAAACCUGGGAAGCAGAGUUUGCAGUGAGCUGAAAUCGCGCCACUGCACUCUAGCCUGGGUGACAGAGCAAGACUCUGUCUCAAAAAAAAAAAAAAAAAAAUGUCCUUGGCUUUAUUCACCACUGAAUCACCAGCACCUAGAGCCCUGAAGACACGGGUCUCAAUACAUACUUAUUGAAUGUGAAAGGACUGACCUCCAAGAGAUUCAACAGCAAGCAGGUCUCUCAUUCUAACUGAAGAUUUACUCAUCCAAUUCAUUCAUUGCUAAUGUCUUCUUCAUCAGUCUAGUUAUCAUUUUUUUAAGCGAAAGCAAGUUUAUUAAGAAAAUGAAGGAAUAAAAGAAUGGCUGCUCCACAGGCAGAACAGCCAGUCUAGCUAUCAUUCUUAACUUUCUUGUAUACUUAAAAAUUUCCUUCUGUGCUUCCCACACAUGACUCCAGAUUUCUUUCCUCACCAAUAUUCUGGGAUACUUUAUAUCACCUUCUACUCCCUGACCCAUUUUUACAAUCGUCUGCAGAACACUACUUAACAAAUUGUACAAACACAUCUAGCUUUACAAAUGCCUCUAUAGAUCAAAAUGUUUUCCAGGGCCGAGAUCAAGAAAAAAAAUGUGGGCUGGAUGCAACGGCUCACGCCUGUAAUCCCAACAGGUUGGGAGGCCGAGGUGGGCGGAUCACCUCAGGUCAGGAGAUCGAGACCAUCCUGGCUAACACGGUGAAACCCCGUUCUACUAAAAAUAUAAAAAAUUACCUGGGCGUGGUGGCACGUGCCUGUAGUCCCAGCUACUCAGGAGGCUGAGGCAAGAGAAUCGCUUGAACAUGGGAGGUGGAGGCUGCAGCAAGCCAAGAUCAUGCCACUGCACUCCAGCCUGGGAG